AGAGGAUUAGAGAAGAAAGAAAAUUGAGGCAAGCUUGAAGAAAAUUGAAGUAGCUUGGAGUUGAAGCUUCAUCUUUAUCUUCUCCUUCCUUGGUCUAAGUGGAAGCUUGUGUUGAGGUAAGCUUCAUGAACCUCUAAUGGUGGAUUGCUAGGGAAUAAUAUAUAUAUCCUAGAAAUGGAUUUAGAGGACUCCCUAGAUGCUAAGUAAAAGCUAUUUGCUUGAAUUAAAGGCUAAUAUGGCUAUUCUUGCAAUAGUAGCAUAUUAGGGCUUCAAAAUGGGAUUUUUGUAAAUGAGGGGUUUUGAUCUAAAUUGAGUGGUCAGAAACCUAAUUGCUAUGUCUCCGAAUGCGUAGGAAGCGACGGUUUGUCGAUUCGUCGAGCCGGUGAGAAGUUAUUAAAGAAAUAGACGUUUAGGCUUCGUAUCCGCCUGGAGGGCCAAGGCGGCGUCGGAAAAUCGUGGAAACGGAUUAGAAGCAUCGUGACAAGAAACCGAAGACCUUUAAUUUCCGGAUCGCGGAUCGGAGGUCAUUUGGUGGUCGUGCGUGGUUUGGGUCGAGCCGAGCGGCGUGCGCCGCGGGAGGCCGAUUGCGAGUGGCGACGAGCAAUCGGAACGCGAUAAAAGGUGGGGGAGUGCCAUCCCGAAGUCAUCGGGCUUCUUCCUAUGUCUUAGUACUUAUCCAUUCACAUGUAGCAUAUUGUAUACCGAUACCUUGCAUUAUAGGAUGACAAUAUAUGCAUUCCUAAUCCUUAUAUGAUGUUUAUGAUCAAUAUAGUAUUAUGAUAUGGAUAUAUGAUGUGAUGGACAUAAGGAUUAUGAGGUGACAUUGGUAAACCUAUGAUGCUAAAUGAAAGAAGAACCUAGUGUUGUGUUUAAAGACAUAGUUUACAAGUGGCAUUGAACUCAUUGUGCUAAAAACACAUAUGACUUGAGCUAGUAAUGGAUUGGUUGUUGCACUAGAAACUCUAGUAACAUUGAUCAAGUUGCAUAUUGGGAUAUUGCAUUAUAGGGUACUAGUUGGCAAUUGUUACAUGUCAUGGCAUGCUAGUGAGAGUGUAGUGUUACUUGAUUAAUACUUGUACCUAGUAUGCAUGAGAUUGGGACUUAGUGUGGUGAAACCCUAUAAGGGCAUGAUUAAUGUGGAUUAAACUUUGUUAAGUGCAUUAAUCGAUUAAGUUGCAUAUUGUAUUUAUUGCAUUUAGAUGCUAAAUGAUUGUGGUCAUUGCUCAUAUUUGCAUGCUAGUAGCUAUACAUCUUGAUGAUUGAUUCAUGAUCUAGUAUGCAUGAUGAUUAUAUGAUGAAAACCUUAUGAUAAAGACCUAGACCCUAUGUGAGAUAAUUAAUGCUUAUGUUGCUAAAGAACUAGUAUGAUGUAACUGGUGUUGAAAUGAGUCUAAAUGACGAGUGGCAUCUAGUUUAGAAAACUAUGAUGAGUGGCAUAUGAUUGUUGAUAACCUUGACAUGAGAACCUUAGUGUAGUUGAAACACUAUGAGAUUGGGUACAAGAACACCUUGAUUCCAUGAUGAGAUUACCCUUAGAGGGUAGGUUGAUGUUGUUCGUGAGUUGAUCAUGCUCACAUAGCCUGUCUGCGCUUGGUUUGGGGUCGCUCCCCACAAGCUGUGCACUCCGGAGGUUGGUCACUCGAGGGACAGUCUGUGUGCUGUCUGGACGGUCUGUGUGCUGUCCGCAGGCGGUCUCGGGAUGUAGUUCUGUGAGACUUUUCCCCUAUGAGACUUACACGUGAGAUAUGCUUGUGAACCCGUGUUCACUUUGAGAUUGGGUUACCUAUUGAGCCAUACCCAUUGUUGUUGUUCAUGAUAGCUUGCUUCCAUAGUUGUUGUUGUUGAUCAUAGUUGCCUUUGGCUUACCGGCUGAUUGGGUGGUCUAAUGAAUAGCCCUAUUGAUGAGCCUAGUGGUAUGGUAGUUAACCUUCACUAGACUUACCUUGAUAGCGAAAAUAGUCGCUUGGUAGUUG
rnacentral:lncRNA from 1 species